rnacentral:rRNA from 1 species
AUGGCUUUGGAGCUGCGGCUGGCGCCGGCGGCGGAGGAGGAGGAGAGGCGCCUGUCCGAGGAGGACGAGCUACUGUUCCAGGACAUCGCGAGGGAGGUGGGGCGGCUCGGCAUCCGCGAGACCGAGGUUGAGGCCCAGGGGCGGCGCCAGGAGGACGCGGCCGCGGCGGACGGCCUCCUCCCACUUCCGGCGGUUCCUGAGCGCCCUGGGCAGCAGGGGGGCCUGUACCGGCCUCCCUUAUCCGUCACGAGGGUUCUGUCGCUCGUGGUGCAGGAGGCCGGCCCGGUGCCGCCGCCGUUCUCGCCGCCGCCGACGGGGGUACCCGGCGGCCGUAGGGUGCUCGACGAAUGGCACUUCCCGGGCGAUCAUCUCGGCCGCGGUCGCGCCCCUGUCCACCAGAACUUCCGCGCCGCGGGAUCCGUGCCGCCGCGCGCCACCUGGUCUGGCGACGCGUACGCCCGCUCAAGGGCGUUUCCUGGGCGCGCCGCCAGCACACAGCUGGUCGAGGACAUCGUCCUGUUUCUCGCCAAGAACGAGCAAACGGUGCUCAACAUGUUGUUCUGGGGAGCCCCCGAGGACGCGGACGCCGUGGCAGCGGUGAUAGUCCAGCACGCCGUCCCUCUCAUCGAGAGCAGCCACGGGACCCGCCUGCUCGUUGUCGUCCUCAGCCGCUGCAACCAUAUGCUCCAGGAAGCGAUCGUCGCUAGAAUCACUCGAGACCACAAGAAGUUUUUCAAGAUUUGUGCUGCGAGGUCAGGUGAGGUGGUGAGCAUGAUCAAUUCCUGCAUAUCCGAGAAAUCACUGGAGCUUCUGAGAGAUGCAAUCGUGCCAUGGGUGACUCCGUUUAUGAUGGCUCGCCUUGUAACGGAUUCGAGUAGACUCAUGGUGGUGCAUGCCUUGGUGCAGUGUGUUCCUCAUCCAUACUUUGCUGAGUUUAUUUUUGAUGCUGUUGCUACGAACUGCUUAGCACUUGCUAUUCAUCCGCAUGGAGUGUCCCUCCUGCAAAGUUGUCUGGAGCAUGUCGGAUGGACAGAAAAGGAUAAUGUUUUGUCAAAAGUCUCUUGUUGCAGCACCGAUCUUGCUCAAAAUCGUUUUGGAAACUACAUUGUUCAGUACGUACUGAAACAAAGAAACCCAUCGUACUUGGCAAUUAUCGCAUCCCACUUCAGGUCUAAUUAUGUGACACUCUCAAGACAAAGAUAUAGCAGCAAUGUGGUUGAAACGUGCCUACAAGUUUUUAAUGACAGAGAUCGAUCUAACAUUGUUCAUGAAUUGAUUCGGUAUCAUCCCUUCAGAGAUUUAGUGUCAGAUGAGUUUGCUAAUUAUGUCAUCUCUAGAGCCCUUACAACCUGCAAGGUUCCUCUUCGGGAUCGAUUGGCCACUGCUAUCCUUUCCCUUCAAAAUGUCAAUCGCCGUCACCCUCAUUGUCUGAAGAUGUUCAACACACUUUCCGAGCUUGGCUACAGAUAUUGA